CAAAACCUUGAUUCAGGUCUGCCCCAACAUCUUCAGUAAUUAGACGCUUGAAUAGCCUCAAGCUGCGAUCAUCAAAGUAGACAUCUCCACCUUCAACUCGACUGAAGCACGCAAGUUCACAUGGCUCUUGAAAAGCUAUACAUUUUCUUGCUAAUGUUUCUUCACUCUUUGCAAACUUCAAUUCAGACACAAAGCGUUCAUCGCGAUGGCCAUUGAAAAACUUGGAACCAUAACCACAGUUCUGCCUUGGGGGAUAAGGUCCCGGUCGCUGGCAAAAUGAUAGAGGAGCCGGCAUCCUUCCGCGACCGGGACCUU
rnacentral:misc_RNA from 1 species